UACGGGGGGAGCAAGCGUUGUUCGGAUUUACUGGGCGUAAAGGGCGCGUAGGCGGCGCAACAAGUCACUUGUGAAAUCUCCGGGCUUAACUCGGAGCGGCCAAGUGAUACUGUCGUGCUAGAGUGCGGAAGGGGCAACUGGAAUUCUCGGUGUAGCGGUGAAAUGCGUAGAUAUCGAGAGGAACACCUGCGGCGAAGGCGGGUUGCUGGGCCGACACUGACGCUGAGGCGCGAAAGCCAGGGGAGCGAACGGGAUUAGAUACCCCAGUAGUCC
rnacentral:rRNA from 1 species